rnacentral:lncRNA from 1 species
GCAUGAGUAGCCCGGGUUCCUAAUCCUUAUAUGUAUAGGGUUGAUAGAGACAAGUGUUCAGGAAUUCUAUGGAAACACCUUGAAUUUUAAUGAGAACUAAAGUUACAACAGACAUCGUCGGGUUGAAUGAAUUGUACAUCCAUUUAAUUCCUAAAACUAAGAACAAGUUUUUGGAUGCUUGAAACCACUGUUACAUAUGUUGCCACGACAAUCCAUCUGUUCACUUAAAAAAAAAAAUAGCUAAUAAAAUAUACGCAAUACAGGGUCAUUUUGAUACUGUUACAGUUAACAUAUAUAUUUAAUUGCAAAAUCUCUCUGGGGAUCUCCUGUAAAACAUGUGUUUUUGUUUUAUAUGAGACAAUAAAGGAAUUAUUACGUUAGCCUAGCUGAUCAUUAAGACGAGGGAUUUAAUUAAUGUUUGGUAAUUCAGUUAUUGACUUCUUAGUUCUAAAUUGAUGCAUUUUUACAAUAACAUGGCCUUUAAGCACCUGCGACCAUAAUUGUGUAAAUUGAAUGUUUUAUACGACACAUAAAACACAAAUUGAUGGACUCCUAAUAUGUAAACGAUAGCAGUUAAGUGUAGAUAUUAUACUCAAGAGGACGAAAAACAUUCAUAGUAGAUUCAUUUCAUUUAAGGUGACGAGUGCCUACGGAAGCGGUCAUUCAGGAAAUAUUAGAUAUGCCAAUGAUGGUUAAACUGCGUUUAACCCCUGUUCCGACAUGAAAUGAUCGCCAUUUAAUUGACAUACAAAUCUUUUUUUAAAGUAUUUUGGAAAGUUUCAACUAAACCGUCGC